rnacentral:sRNA from 1 species
GUUGCUGUGCUAACGACCGUUGGAACCCUCUUUCCUGCUCUUGGAACGCUCGGCUCUGAGAGGCUCCAGGUUUCUCCGCCAGAGCUCCUGUCGCUCUGUCACUUGCGCUGUGUUCCUCUCUAGUCACAAGAGCCUUGGGGAAGACAGUUGGAAGCUCAGACAUGGAUUUCGCUUUUGUUGCCCAGGCUGGAGUACAGUGGCUCGAUCUCGGCCCACUGCCACCUCUGCUUCCUGGGUUGAAGCAAUUCUUCUGCCUCAGCCUCCUGAGUAGCUGUGGUUACAGUUGGAGUCUUGCUCUGUUGCCCAGGCUGGAGUGCGGUGGCGCGAUCUCAGCUCACUGCAAGCUCCGCCUCCCGGGUUCACGCCAUUCUCCUGCCUCAGCCUCCCAAGUAGCUGGGACUACAGGCGCCCGCCACCACGGCUGGCUAAUUUUUGUAUUUUUAGUAGAGACAGGGUUUCACCAUGUUAGCCAGGAUGGUCUCGAUCUCUUGACCUCGUGAUCUGCCCGCCUCGGCCUCCCAAAGUGCUGGGAUGACAGGCGUGAGCCACCAUGUCCACC